CAAUAGCGUAUAUUAAAGUUGUUGCAGUUAAAAAGCUCGUAGUUGGAUUUCUGGUUGAAGCGACCGGUCGGGCGUUGAUUCGUCUGCACUGGAGUCGGUUUUGGCCAUCCUCUAGGAAAGUGCGUCUGGUAUUAAGUUAUCGGGCGUAUGAUCCUGGUCUUUUACUGUGAAAAAAUUAGAGUGUUUAAAGCAGGCCUUCGCCUUGAAUACAUUAGCAUGGAAUAAUAAGAUAGGACUUUGGUCUAUUUUGUUGGUUUGCAGACCGAAGUAAUGAUUAAUAGGGAUAGUUGGGGGUAUUUAUAUUCCGAUGUCAGAGGUGAAAUUCUUAGAUUUUCGGAAGAUAAACUUAUGCGAAAGCAUUUGCCAAGGAUGUUUNCAUUA
rnacentral:rRNA from 1 species